ensembl:snRNA U1 U1 spliceosomal RNA
AUUCUUACCUGGCAGAGGAAAUACUAUGAUCAAAUAGUGAUUUUAUCAGGGCAAGUGUUGUCUUUUGCACUCAGGAUGUGCUGACCCCUGAGAUUCCCACCCAUGAGAAACUCAACUGGAAAAUUUGUGCUAGUGGGGUAACAUA